AUUUCAAGACUUGCUGCUAUCGAAUACAGAUCGCCCCGUGAUCAAUUUAAUAGAUUAUUAACGUUUAUUAAUACCUAAAGUUGGUUUAGAAAAGUAAUUUGAAGUGAUUUGUAAAAGUAUAUAGGUAACUUUUGUAAUUUUAAAAAGUGACGUUGCGUCAUGUAAAGGGGCAUUUUUCUGGAUCAGACCGGUCUUCAGCAAAUCACAUUUUGGGUAUACAAUGACGGAUUUAAUCGGGAAAAAGACACAAUUGUGAUGUUUAUGUGACAUAUAGGAGUGCCAAGAAAGAAGCUCGUCAAAGAUUGAAGUGGAUUUAAGUGACAUCAAUAAGGGAUCAUACCUUUCACCUGGAUUCACCUGGCCAAGUGUAACCACGCCAGCCCAGGACCUCCACAUCCAGCUUCUUCACCUGCGGGAUCGUCUGAGAACAGCCACCCGGACAGCUGAUGAAACUGAAGAGUAUUUCUGUCUGCCCUUUUGUGGGAAAACCUCAUUCUGAUUGGGUGGGCCUGGCACCCAGGUGGAUGGGCCUAUACCCUCCCAGGCCCACCCAUGGCUGCGCCCCAGCCCAGUCAUGUGAAAUCCAUAGAUAAGGGCCUAAUGAAUUUAUUUCAAUUAACUGGUUUCCUUAUAUGAACUGUAACUCAGGAAAAUCUUUGAAAUUGUUGCAUGUUGCGUUUAUAUUUUUGUUCAGUAUACUUGGGGCUAUCCAAAUAAAGGGUUACCUGGGGGAGGUUUCUUUAUGUAAAAUCAAUAGUGCUCUAUAUGUUUAAUAAGUCAUUAUUAUCCUUGCUACAGAGAGCACUCCUUAUGUCAGAUAUGACCUGAUAAUAUCAGAACUGAUUUAAAGAGGGUAUGAUUCAAUGUUCCAAAAAUAUUCCCCCCAUUUGUGUACUUUGAUGUAACUUAAGGAUGAGCCACUGCAUGAAGUCAAGGUAGUAGAGCACAAAGUUGACAGUGCUGAAGAACACUACAAUGGGCAGAACCUGAUUAGCGAGAGAAGAAAUUAGUGUUUGGUUUCUCUUUUCUUUCCUCUCUCUGUAAUUUUCUCAGUCUCACAUAUACAGACAUACUCAUAUGAUCCUCUAUCAAGAAUACAAAGAAGUGAUCUGUGUAUUUGUCGCCAAAGACAAACUAAGAGCGGGUGUCAGUGUAGGACAGAAACACCUGGGUGACAGAGGAGAGAUGUUUCAACACAGACUGAAGUAUUGAGGUCAGUCUUUACUAACAGGCCAACUUUGCUCUUUGUCUGCUGAGUGUACUGGGAUAAGGGACUGGGGACUGCAGACAGGGGACAGAGACAUAUGAUUAUGCUGAUGAGAGUGACAUUAGCUAUAUGGUCCAAAUAAAAAAAAGGGCUUUUUUGCUGGCUAUUAUUUGCAAUAUCAGUGAUCCAAUAGAUUGCCAUUUUACCCUUUGGCAGAGUAUCCCUGGCUUGUACACAGUAUGUGUAUAGUAUACAGUACCUAGACUUGAUGGCCCAGCCAGUCUACAGCAGUGAAUCCUGCUUUGGUUCUGAGGAUGAUGAGUCCAAAUAAGAAGAACUGCAGUACCACACCCCGCAGUAAAGUUCACCAUGACACCUACACACAGUUAAACACACAGACUUGCAGGGAAUCACACACAAACACAUAUCUGACAAGAUCUGUCAGAACUACAGCAGCCGGUCUCUGGAUCCAUGCAGAGUUGAAGUAUCAAGGUGUGUGUGUGUUCUCACUUUUCCAUACACUGAAUGGGUUCCAUGAGAACACCAGCAUGAGCAGUACAAAGCAGAAGACCGGAGAAAGACUAGCUGCCGUGUUCCGUUUGGCCCUGUCAAAGACCAGCCAGCACACCGCUGCCAUAAAAAGCAGCAUACACACCACAGUGCACAGACAGACAAACAGAUAGACAGACAGAUACAGACAGAAAGACAGACAAAAGAGGGACAACAAUGGGAAUCACCAAAAAGGAUGACAAAAUACAGGGAAAAUGUGAUAUUAUACAAAGAAAAGAGAGUGAGAAAGAAAGAAAAUGCAGCUCUCACCAAAUGAGCCAGACCCUGUGUGUGUUGAGGGUGCUCCUGGUAGGUUGCAGGCUGUCCCAGAGGCAGGAUCAGUAGCGGCCCAUGAGCCAGUCCCUCAGCAGGAAGAACACAGCCAACAGGGCCAGAGGCCGCUGCAAGUUCUGCACGCACGCUGCAAUCACCGCGGCAACAUAACUUGAAACACACAUAAUCUGUGUCUGAAAUGGCACCCUAUUCACUAUGUAGUGUACUAAUUUUGACCGGACCCACUUCGGACAAACUCCCAGACAUCUCUGUAUGAAACCUAGACAGCUGCAAACGUAUGUGAUUAUCACACAGAAAGAAAAGUCACACAGACAUAUGCAGCCACACAGACAUAACAUCCAACUGUUGAGAUUGGAGGAAAGUGUUGGAUAUAAACAUCUAAAAAAAAAGUACAGAAACUCACAAAUACACACAGUUGUGACGGUGAUGAAAAUGACCCACAUCCCUGAGACAGCAGAUAUACACGUAAUCUGUUGACACUAUGAACCAAUCCUUACAUUUUACCUGCUCUACCAGGAAGGAAAUUCAUUUCAGGGUCAUAUUCAUUAGAUACCCAAUGGAUGUAAACAGACUGAAUUAGGGAGGGAAAUUGUACAAUGACAAACACCUAUUUUCAAACCACACCCUCCCUCAGUGAUGGAAAACCCACUCACUCUGAUAACCUCUGCAAACACUAGGUUAUCACAUUUGGUGGUGAAUUGAAUCACCAAGUAUUCAUAUUGCUGUGAGACUCCUGUGAUCCUGUGUGGCUCAGUUGGUAAGAUCAUGGCACUAGCAACACCAGUGUUGUUGGUUUAAUACCCUAAAACACCAACAACAUAGACAUACCUCUGAUAAGAGUCGGUUGGUGGAAAUGAAGUCAUUCAAACGUCUUAGAUAUGUGUCAGUGAACCAGGUCACAUACAUGUAUCCUUACAUUUAGCAGAAAUCUUUAUCCAGAACAACUUAAAGUAGUGAGUGCAUACAUUUUCAUACUGGUCCCCCAUGGGAAUCAAACCCACAACCCUGGCGUUGCAAAUAAAACCAAAAAUGUAAAAGCGCCAUGCUCUACCAACUGUGCUACAUGGGACCACUUGUUCCAACCCGUAUUUUGCUGUUCUGGGUGCCAUUUGUUUUUGCAUCAUUAAAGUGCUCCGGCCCAUUUCUGCUCUCCUGCG
ensembl:lncRNA